GACGAACGCUGGCGGCGUGCUUAACACAUGCAAGUCGAACGGAAAGGCCCUGCUUUUGUGGGGUGCUCGAGUGGCGAACGGGUGAGUAACACGUGAGUAACCUGCCCUUGACUUUGGGAUAACUUCAGGAAACUGGGGCUAAUACCGGCUAGGAGCUCCUGCUGCAUGGUGGGGGUUGGAAAGUUUCGGCGGUUGGGGAUGGACUCGCGGCUUAUCAGCUUGUUGGUGGGGUAGUGGCUUACCAAGGCUUUGACGGGUAGCCGGCCUGAGAGGGUAACCGGCCACAUUGGGACUGAGAUACGGCCCAGACUCCUACGGGAGGCAGCAGUGGGGAAUAUUGCACAGUGGGCGGAAGCCUGAUGCAGCAACGCCGCGUGCGGGAUGAAGGCCUUCGGGUUGUAAACCGCUUUCGCCUGUGACGAAGCGUGAGUGACGGUAAUGGGUAAAGAAGCACCGGCUAACUACGUG
rnacentral:rRNA from 1 species